GAUGAACGCUGGCGGCGUGCCUAACACAUGCAAGUCGAGCGAUUCUCUUCGGAGAAGAGCGGCGGACGGGUGAGUAACGCGUGGGUAACCUGCCCUGUACACACGGAUAACAUACCGAAAGGUAUGCUAAUACGAGAUAACAUACUUUUAUCGCAUGGUAGAAGUAUCAAAGCUCCGGCGGUACAGGAUGGACCCGCGUCUGAUUAGCUAGUUGGUAAGGUAACGGCUUACCAAGGCGACGAUCAGUAGCCGACCUGAGAGGGUGAUCGGCCACAUUGGAACUGAGACACGGUCCAAACUCCUACGGGAGGCAG
rnacentral:rRNA from 1 species